rnacentral:rRNA from 1 species
AUGACCAGAGUUCCGCGAGGAUAUAUAGCCCGGAGACGACGAACAAAAAUGCGUUCAUUUGCCUCAAACUUUAGAGGGGCUCAUUUAAGACUUAAUCGAAUGAUUACCCAACAGGUAAAAAGAGCUUUUGUUUCCUCUCAUCGAGAUAGAGGUAGGCAAAAGAGGGAUUUUCGUCGUUUGUGGAUCACUCAGAUAAAUGCAGCAACGCGGAAGAAAUUCAUUCUUAAUCGUAAAAUGCUUGCACAAGUAGCUGUAUCAAAUCCAAAUAAUCUUUACACGAUUUCCAAUAAAAUAAAGAUCAUCAAUUAA